UACAGAGGGUGCGAGCGUUAAUCGGAAUUACUGGGCGUAAAGCGUGCGUAGACGGUUAUUUAAGUCGGGUGUGAAAGCCCCGGGCUCAACCUGGGAAUUGCAUUCGAGACUGAAUAGCUAGGGUACGGUAAAGGGAAGUGGAAUUCCGGUGUAGCGGUGAAAUGCGUAGAUAUCGGAAGGAACAUCAGUGGCGAAAGCGACUUCCUGGACCAGUACCGACGUUCAGGCACGAAAGCGUGGGGAGCAAACAGG
rnacentral:rRNA from 1 species